CUCUGACCCCCAAUGCGCAAGUCAGUGGCGUCACAUCCGGGCCCCGUGACUUCCCUGGGUUCACGGCAAGGGUGGAACCGGAUUCUUCCUGGAUGGGGAUCUGGAUGGGGGUGGGGGGUUGAUUUGGGAAGCAGAGCACAGCAGCCCAAAUUUGCUUGUAAUGUCGGCGGCUACAGAGGAAAGGCCAAGAAUGGACAGAUUAAUAAAGGGCCAUCUACAAGCCACGAAUAAGGCCAUCACCAGAAGCCAACCCCGCCAGUCCUUGAUCUAGGACUUCCAGACUUCAAAACUGUGAAAAAAAUAAUAAAUUUCUGUUGUUUCAGCUACUCAGUCAAUGGCAUUUUGUUAUGGCAGCCUGAGCUGACUUAAGACAUAACUUCAGCCUGCUGGCCUGCCUUCACUGUCCUGGGGGAGGCUUGGAGAGACCAGGUGGACUGGAGUAGACUGUUGAGAGACGCUGGUCUGGUGAAGAUGUCCAGGAAACCACGAGCCUCCAGCCCAUUGUCCAACAACCACCCACCAACACCAAAGAGGCGAGGAAGUGGAAGGCAUCCUCUCAACCCUGGCCCAGAAGCCCUAUCAAAGUGAACGGCCCACCCAAGCUCUGACUCCUACCCUGUCCUCCCCUGGCACAACCCCCACCCCAGCCUGCACCAUUUCUCUAUGAAGCCCCUGUUCUCACCCCUCCUCCAUCCUCUUCCCCAAACCAGUGCCCUUCUUUGAUCUCCCUGUUUCCUUCCGGGUUCCCAAGACAACCCGGAAGGGAAAAGGGACCCGUCAAGGAAGUUCCAGGAACAAAAGGCUCUCCCUAAAAGACCACCGCUUCAAAAAAACCUGAGGAAUGGAGUGGGCCAACACUAUCCAGCCACUCUGACCAGCCGAACGAGGAACUCAAUCAAAAUGCGCCACAGCGGGACCACAAGGGCAAGGAGACCACCACCUUCUCCAGUCUCUCUUCGGGCAGCCAGUAAUUCCCGGGCAAGGCCAGAGACUUCAAGUCUAUCUGAAAAGUCUCCAGAGGUCUAACCCCAGAUAAAUAGCCAACAGGGUGUAGAGUACAUUUUACACCCCAAAGGGUGUGCCCCAUGGUGAUGAAAAUAAAGUGAACAUGUUGCAAAA